AGUCAGGUAAGCUAAUUUAAGCUGUUGGAUUCAUACUCCAAUAAUAGAUGUGGAUCUCCUGUCUA
rnacentral:tRNA from 1 species